AGCAGUAGCCGCGGUAAUACGUAGGGUGCGAGCGUUAAUCGGAAUUACUGGGCGUAAAGCGUGCGCAGGCGGUUGUGUAAGACAGGUGUGAAAUCCCCGGGCUUAACCUGGGAACUGCGCUUGUGACUGCACAGCUAGAGUAUGGCAGAGGGGGGUGGAAUUCCACGUGUAGCAGUGAAAUGCGUAGAGAUGUGGAGGAAUACCGAUGGCGAAGGCAGCCCCCUGGGCCAAUACUGACGCUCAUGCACGAAAGCGUGGGGAGCAAACAGGAUUAGAUACCCCCGUAGUCCCUGUCUCUUAUAC
rnacentral:rRNA from 1 species